UGGGGAAUCUUGCGCAAUGGGCGAAAGCCUGACGCAGCCAGUCCGCGUGGAUGAUGAAGGUCUUAGGAUUGUAAAAUCCUUUCACCGGUGAAGCUGUAGCCGGAGAAGAAGCCCCGGCUAACUUCGUGCCAGCAGCCGCGGUAAUACGAAGGGGGCUAGCGUUGCUCGGAAUUACUGGGCGUAAAGGGAGCGUAGGCGGACAUUUAAGUCAGGGGUGAAAUCCCAGAGCUCAACUCUGGAACUGCCUUUGAUACUGGGUGUCUUGAGUGUGAUAGAGGUAUGUGGAACUCCGAGUGUAGAGGUGAAAUUCGUAGAUAUUCGGAAGAACACCAGUGGCGAAGGCGACAUACUGGAUCAUUACUGACGCUGAGGCUCGAAAGCGUGGGGAGCAAACAGGAUUAGAUACCCGUGUAGU
rnacentral:rRNA from 1 species